rnacentral:rRNA from 1 species
UACGUAGGGUGCAAGCGUUGUCCGGAAUUAUUGGGCGUAAAGAGCUCGUAGGCGGUUUGUCGCGUCUGCUGUGAAAACUCAGGGCUUAACCCUGAGCCUGCAGUGGAUACGGGCAGGCUAGAGUGUGGUAGGGGAGACUGGAAUUCCCGGUGUAGCGGUGAAAUGCGCAGAUAUCGGGAGGAACACCAGUAGCGAAGGCGGCACUCUGGGCCGUGACUGACGCUGAGGAGCGAAAGCGUGGGUAGCAAACAGG